rnacentral:lncRNA from 1 species
UUUUAAUAAACAGGUAACAAUAUAUGCUUGCAAAGUUUAUAAAAAUACUGACUCUUAACAUUUUCUUACAAUUAGAAUAUUAACUUCAUUAAUUUCAAACAGUAAGUAAUAAUAAUAGUUGAACUGGUGACGGAUACUGGGGUGAGUUUUACUUAAAUAACCUCAUUUUCUAGAUGGGAAAAUGAAAUCUUUCUAAAAUAACAUUUUAUUGCUGCUGCUGCUGCUCCUGGUGUGUGUGUGUGUGUGUGUGUGUGUGUGUGUGUACCGUGGAUUUGCUUCUCUUCUCCCACCUUUGGAGGUUCUGGGUUCCAGCAUGGGUUCCAGGACUCAGGUCACUGGGCUUGUGUGGCAAAUGCUUUUCCUUGAUGAGCCAUUCCAAUUCUGAAAAUGGAAUAUUUGGUGCAGCUGGUCCAAACCCACCCACUGAUUGGCAGAACUAGAAUGUGGACCUACACUUGUCCCAUAUUGACUCCUGUGUAUAACUUCAAGUUGAUACAACAAAUCAAUGCUCAUCAACCUGGCAGUGCUGUCUGUUGGUGUUGAUAAUCAAAAAUGUGUCCUUGUAGGCUCCCACCUUUUCAUGUCUAUUUGGAAUGUGACAAGGUAAAGUAGAGAGUUCAUGGCACUGAUAACACUAUCUCUCAUGAGAUUUUCAGAGGAAGAAUUAGGUAAGCUCUGCUGUCUGACUGCUGACAGUGAUGCUCAGGCUGAGUCAUGGUCUUGUGUCUCUGCCUCCCUUGCGAAGACUGAACAUUUGACCAUUAGGCAGGCUUUGGACAGGACACAAGGUAAGCUGAGCUCUGCAUGGCCACAUGUGGUGGCUUUUCUUCAUUCAGAACUUGAGCUCUGUGAUACCUGGGAACAAACCUAGACUUAUGGGUAGGACAUGUGGCUCCUCUCCAGGUUCCAUCUUAACUAUACCUAGUGAUGCUCUGUUUUUGAGAUUUUAGGAAAUAUCCCUUACAAAUCUUCAGGGCUGAUAUAAGCUUGAAAGCCACCAGCCUCCUAGGAGGCAUCACAGUACUAUUGGUUAGGCUUGUGAACUUGCAGUGUGACAACUUGGGUUCAAAUCCAGGCGGUGCUGCUAAAGAUAGUGUGUCUCUGGCCAAUAAACCCCUUGAAGCCCCCAUUACAGCUGGGUUUGGUGUAGGCUACCAGCAAAGGAAAUAAUUAGUGCUACAGUAGGAAUCCAUGAAUGGGAGAUGAGAUGGAGGGGUUAGGUCCAAAGGCAGAGGGGGAAAAAUGUAGGCUCACAUGGACAGGUAAGGGAUCUGGCUCCUCAGACAGAUUGGAUGACAUAACCUGUCAUCAUACUAUCCAGCAUCUCCUGAAAGUACAAACCUGGGUAUCCCUUUAGUGGAAAGAGAGCCCCUCUGUUAUUGGAAGUAUGAAAGUUGAGGUCGGGGAGCCUAUCUCUUGUCGAUAUUGAUGCAAAGUCCUCUGUCUAUACAGGGGACUUUGGCUUUCUCCUGCAGAUUCUAGACUUCCUUAUUCUAGUGAAUAAAACAGCUGCAUGUUUCACUGGGGAGCUGUAGGGAUGGCACACCAAGGGCAGCCUGCUCUUGGGGUUUUCUUUCACUGUUAUUCCAGUGCUAUCACAGGGCCCAAAGCUCACACCAGACUGUCCCAGUACUUUGAUACAAACAGAGAAAGCUACCAUAUUUGAAUACAAUAGUUUACACAUUUCACGUGCAUACAUAUAAAUGUAAACAUAACAUAACUCAUAUAAUGAAAGGAUGCUUCAAAUGCAAAAGCAACAAUGAGGUUUUAGCCCACCAGGAAAUAGUUAUAUUAGUAUUAACUCCAUUAUACUAAACUUCCUUUCACAUACUUUUCAGACCUCUUAAGAUGUGUGAUGUGCAUCUGAUUUAAAAAUAAAAUUAAAAUAGGUGUUGUCGUCAGCUCCCCCCAUGCCCGUCCCCUCCCCCCCUACUUGCCUUUCUUCUGCUGCUCUGACACAGCAAGUCUGAAAGUCUGAAGCCUCAGCCAACAAUACCCUGCGACAUUGUGAGCAUGCAUAAGACAAGGGACUUCAGGGAGGCAGCAAGUGCCCUGGCAGAGAAGUGGCCUUUCUCUGUUCCCAGCCUCCUUGUGAGAAGCCUGGUCCACUAAGGUCAACUUCCAACACAGACAUGCUCAUUUCAGUCUGCUCCCCAUGAAAGAGAGAAAAAAGUGAAAGUAAAUGCGGCCCAUUUGACAGGAUGGAGAGGCAUCCGGGCUCUUGAGGGGACACCAUAUCUUGUCUGUCACCCAUGGAAUAGUCACUAGAAAAAGUGACCCCUUCCCAAAGUGGGCUUCCAUGACUCCAUGGGUGAGGUGAGAAUUGCACAAGCUGCCCAGCCAUGGAGUUACUUUCAAACUUGACUCUGCUUGCUUCGACUCUUGGGAUUGGUUGCUGUGGCUGACGCAUCACCAUUUAUUGGUGCCAGCAAUGUGGUUCAACUUGUUCCUACAUCCAAGUCUCUUGCUUCAAGUUCACUCACCACACCUGAGAGAGUAUGGAGAGAUGCUCCAAGGUGAAGCUGUGGUAGUUUGAAUGAAAAUGGCCUCCAUAGGCCCAUAGAGAGUUGCACUAUGAGGAGGUGUGGCCUUGUUGAAGUGGGUGUGGCUUUGUUGGAUGAAGUAUGUCACAGUCUCUUCCUGCUGCCUGUGGAUCUGGAUGAAGAACUCUCAAUUACCACUUCAGUACCAUGUUUGCCUGUGUGCAACCACGCUUCCCACCAAGAUGACAAUGGACUAAGCCUCUGAACUAUAAGCCAGCCACAAUGAAAUGUUUUCCUUUAUAAGAGUUGCCAUGGUCAUGGUGUCUCUUCACAGCAAUAGAAACCCUGAUUGUCACAGAAGACAAGUUGUGAUUACAAGCUGUGGGUCUAGAAUGAAGCAGAGCCUCACUUUCCAGAAGUGAGUCCUGGAAACACAGCUACAACUGACCUCAAUAGCCUUGCUUGCAAAGGAACUGUAAGUAUCCCUGACUUGAUGGGAGGCUGCAUGGGAUGGGGGAGGCGUGGCCUGUGAAAGUUUAAUGAGUUGACACAUACUCAGAACUGUGGUCACCCAGAAAUGCUCAGUGAAUUGCGUUUUAUGUGCAGUAAUACUCACUUGCACAAACUGAUGGAUAUUCUUGCUUACUUCCUGGGACUGUGGCCUGGACUCAGCUAGUUUCUACAGCCGCAAUGCCACGUUCCAAAGUCAUGUCUUCUACUUCUCCUGGUUCAGCAGUAACCAGGUUCCACUUACUGACAUAGGCAAUAACUCUAUCCUCAGAAGACUUUCACUAAGCUUGGUUUCCUGUAUACUUUAGCAGCCUCUUCCUGCAUUAUUCUCUUACUUGCUGUCCCACCUUUUGAUUUUCAUUGGAGAAGUCAAACUUAAACAGACAUCUCUGUAGAAAACUAAAUUUGAAUGUAAAGAAUGCACAUUAACAGUGCCGUUGAGAUAGCUUGAUGGGUAAAGGCAUCUGUCACCAAGCCUGAAGUUCUGGGUUUGACUUCCAGAACCUACAUGGUAGAAGGAGGGAAGUGACUCUUGCAAGUUGUCCUCUGACUUACAGACAGACAGACAGACAGACAGACAGACAGACAGACACACACACACACACACACACACACACACAAACACGCGUGCGCGCGUUACAAUAAAUCUUUCCACCAAAAGCUGCCUGAGCCCUACAGCCACGUGGGCGGUCUCUGACAGGGCCCAAAUUAAUGCACAGAGACUUGUAUUAGGUACAAAUACUGCUUAGCCAAUGACUAGGAUUCUCAUAUGUUAGCUCAGUCUUAAAAUUAUCAUAAAUCUAUAUAUUUUAUAAGACUUAUCUUAUCAGACGCCUUCCAUCGGCUUCCUCCCUUGCUGGUGGAUCACAUCCCGCCACUGGAGGAAGAGCUGGAGGAAGAGGAAGACCACUUCCUGCUUGUCCUUCCUUAAAUAUGAGUCUCCUUGCUAUGUCACUUCCUGCCUGGGGACACACACUAAAAAAUGUAAUAAAAAUAAGUCUUCUACAAAGAGUGUAC